UAAGGUACAAAUAUGUUGAUAUGGACACAUCACAUUUGCUCUUUAUUGUGUUGCUAAGGACACUGAUGGGUUGAGUUGGCAUAUAGUGCAGCCGUGGAUCGCUCAUCAACCUGUUGAGCUCUUUCUGGAUAGGACAGAGGUACAAUAUUUACAUCCAUGGCAGAAGGUUCUUAACCCUGAACUCAUCAAAGGUCCUUGGACUCAAGAGGAAGAUGAUAAAAUUAUUGAUCUUGUAAGAAAGUAUGGACCAAGAAAAUGGUCUCAUUGCAAGGACCUGCAGAAGGACCCUCC